rnacentral:rRNA from 1 species
UACGGGGGGAGCAAGCGUUGUUCGGAUUUACUGGGCGUAAAGGGCGCGUAGGCGGCGUAACAAGUCACUUGUGAAAUCUCCGGGCUUAACUCGGAAAGGUCAACUGAUACUGUGCGACUAGAGUGCAGAAGGGGCAACUGGAAUUCUCGGUGUAGCGGUGAAAUGCGUAGAUAUCGAGAGGAACACCUGCGGCGAAGGCGGGUUGCUGGGCUGACCCUGACGCUGAUGCGCGAAAGCGUGGGGAGCAAACAGG